UACGAAGGGGGCUAGCGUUGCUCGGAAUCACUGGGCGUAAAGGGUGCGUAGGCGGGUUCUUAAGUCAGAGGUGAAAUCCUGGAGCUCAACUCCAGAACUGCCUUUGAUACUGAGAGUCUUGAGUAUGACAGAGGUGAGUGGAACUGCGAGUGUAGAGGUGAAAUUCGUAGAUAUUCGCAAGAACACCAGUGGCGAAGGCGGCUCACUGGUCCGGUACUGACGCUGAGGUGCGAAAGCGUGGGGAGCAAACAGG
rnacentral:rRNA from 1 species